rnacentral:rRNA from 1 species
UACGGAGGGGGCUAGCGUUGUUCGGAAUUACUGGGCGUAAAGCGCACGUAGGCGGCUUUGUAAGUUAGAGGUGAAAGCCCAGGGCUUAACCCUGGAAUUGCCUUUAAGACUGCAUCGCUAGAAUCGUGGAGAGGUGAGUGGAAUUCCGAGUGUAGAGGUGAAAUUCGUAGAUAUUCGGCGGAACACCAGUGGCGAAGGCGACUCACUGGCCCAAUACUGACGCUGAGGCGCGAAAGCGUGGGGAGCAAACAGG